GACGAACGCUGGCGGCGUGCUUAACACAUGCAAGUCGAACGGAAAGGCCCUGCUUUUGUGGGGUGCUCGAGUGGCGAACGGGUGAGUAACACGUGAGUAACCUGCCCUUGACUUUGGGAUAACUUCAGGAAACUGGGGCUAAUACCGGAUAGGAGCUCCUGCUGCAUGGUGGGGGUUGGAAAGUUUCGGCGGUUGGGGAUGGACUCGCGGCUUAUCAGCUUGUUGGUGGGGUAGUGGCUUACCAAGGCUUUGACGGGUAGCCGGCCUGAGAGGGUGACCGGCCACAUUGGAACUGAGAUGCGGCACAGACUCCUACGGGAGGCAGCAGUGGGGAAUAUUGCACAAUGGGAGGAAGCCUGAUGCAGCAACGCCGCGUGCGGGAUGACGGCCUUCGGGUUGUAAACCGCUUUCGCCUGUGACGAAGCGUGAGUGACGGUAAUGGGUAAAGAAGCACCGGCUAACUACGUG
rnacentral:rRNA from 1 species